UGCUAAAAUAGUAAUUUCAUCUCCUUUCCUCACUAACUCAUUUAUGCAUUCAGUAAGUGUUUUCUGAGUACCUAUCAUGUGCACUAUCUGAGUACCUAUUUUGGGUGAUGGAGUACAUUUUGUUUAGAAAUUUACAAAAGCAUUUUAAUUUGCAGGUAAUAUAACAGAAAUCUGCAUAAAGUAGAGAAAGAGGAAAAAAGAUGAUAUUGAUUAACUCCACUGAGAAUCAAAGGAAGUGGGAUGGUGAUCAGGAAAAGUUUCACAGAAGAGAAAAGAUCCAGUAGAGGAGAGACUGGAAAUAUAAGAAAGAGAGAAAUAAAGUGAGACAGGAAGAAAAAGAGAGAAGGAAGACAGAAGAUGGAGGAGAGGAGAGAGAACAGAGAAAGAAUCAUGUCCAGAAGAGGAAUUCUUGGAGUGUUGAGCUAAAAAGGAUAGAGAAGAGGAAAAGUCUAACAGUCGGAAAAAAAAAAAAAAAGGAAGAGAUAUUUCUUUCUCUAGAGUGAGAUGGAUUUCAUCCAAGAAAAUCCCACCAUUCAUCUCAACUCCUUCCUUCACAGACUAUGCUAUCACCUGAAUCACCUACUGUGGACUGGAGUCAUGCCAGUACUUAGAAGGAAGCACAGCAAGAGAAAAUUCACAGCAUCAUUUGCAUCUCUGAAUCCAACCAGUGCUGAAAAUUUCUCUACCCCUGAACUUUCAAGAAAAAAGGGCUAAUAAAUCCUCUUAUUUCAGCUAGCUUGGAUUGGGUUUCUAUUGACUUUCAAAUCAAAUAAUUAACAAAAUUUGUAGAAAUUGAGACCAGGAUUGCAAUGUUGAAAGUAUCAUACUCCAAAACAAGGAACUGAUUGAGAUAAGAUAAAUUGGAGAUCUUUUGAGGGGAGAAGUAAGAGGGAGCUCCAUUGGUUACAUAUUAGAAAAAGAGAUGGUUAAACUUCUAUCAGAAUUUCAGCCCAUGUGCAUACCAAAAACAGAAACGUAG
ensembl:lncRNA